UCCAAAGCACAGCUGUCUGGUCUUCCAAGAAAUCCCCUGUCUGCAAAGGAAAAGGAUCACUGAUGCUUCCACAGAAGGAAGAAUUCCUCCCAUUGCAGUUCCAGGAGUGUGUGAGGGAAGGAAUGAGAAGGGGGGCAGAAGAAGCACACAGGAUCCAUAUGCUAUAACAUACUUCAGGCUCCAAAUGGGCAUAAUCUGUCCCUUCAUUCCAGUCUCUCAAUACAUCCUCUGAGUCACAAAUCCAUUGGACCAAAUACAACUCAUCUUUGGAGUAGCAACUAGGAUGAAUUUAGAUCUGGCUGUAUCAGAAACGGUGUCAGAAGAAAAGCGGAUGAAAAUUGUACAAAAACUCCUUUGUACCCUGCUUCACAGACUUGUGACCAUGACUGAAUUCAUCUUCUGGAUGGUUCCUCAGAUGAGCAUGCCUUUAACUUUUCCUUGGGGCUUAAAAAAGAUUUUUCAACCCAUUUUUCCAUAUCAUCACACAGUGUCCUGGAGAUGUCUCUCAGGAAUAUAUAUGGUGAGGUUCCACAUCCCUAGUCCUCACCGGGAAUGGGAUUGCAAAAGAACAUUCCAACUAUUUUAGGUUAUGGAAAAAGUAAUCAAAUAUUUCACUCACCACUAAAAUGUCAUCAUUUUAUGCAUUUCACAAAGAAUUCUCUCAUUACGUUAGAUAGGCCUGGAGAGACUCCAGUCUCUGUGGGUUGCAUGCAUUCCUCUGUUCUGUUCAGAAAUUAAAAGCCUUAGUCUGUUUUUUAAGAAAGCCAAAGUCACUUGGUGCCCUGCUACUGACCCAAAACUUGAUGGCAAUACACCUUAUUUCUCUUACAAACUGAUUUGGCCUUCUCUGAAUUUGUUCCUCACACAGCUACGUGCACACCAUUCUCCCCACAUACUUUGAUAAAAAUAACAAUUGCACAUGAAGACAAAAGAAAACCCAGAAUAAUAACGAUAACAGCAACCGCUUGAGAAAGACUAAUGAGUGCUGCUGAACAGCAGAGCCUUUCACUGACACUGGAUAAAGAAGACAGCAAGUCCAUGAGGCUAUUAGUAUCCAAUUUUAAAUUUAACCAAUUUUUUUAAUUAUUAUUUUGGCACAAUGCUGCAACAAUACAUCAGCAUGAUACAAACACUGUAGCAUCUGCAAGAAUUCUCAGCCUUUGAGCAAAAGAGUAUGUUAGCAACACAUGGACCUUGUGAAUGCAAGUAAUUCUUGCUGCAGGAGAGAGACAAAGUGUAUCCGUACCUCUUACUCUCUUCCAUAUCACUGUAAUGCCUACAGGUUCAGAGAGCCAAAGACACCAGUGGCUGGGCACUACACGAACACAUAAAAGAAUAGUUUUAAACCUGUAUGCUACAGCUCUAAGACUUCAACAGCUGCAUGAAACCCAGUAGCA